UGGGGAAUAUUGGACAAUGGGGGCAACCCUGAUCCAGCCAUGCCGCGUGUGUGAAGAAGGCCUUUUGGUUGUAAAGCACUUUAAGCAGUGAAGAAGACUCCAUGGUUAAUACCCAUGGACGAUGACAUUAGCUGCAGAAUAAGCACCGGCUAACUCUGUGCCAGCAGCCGCGGUAAUACAGAGGGUGCAAGCGUUAAUCGGAAUUACUGGGCGUAAAGCGAGCGUAGGUGGCUUGAUAAGUCAGAUGUGAAAGCCCCGGGCUUAACCUGGGAACGGCAUCUGAUACUGUUAGGCUAGAGUAGGUGAGAGGAAGGUAGAAUUCCAGGUGUAGCGGUGAAAUGCGUAGAGAUCUGGAGGAAUAUCGAUGGCGAAGGCAGCCUUCUGGCAUCAUACUGACACUGAGGUUCGAAAGCGUGGGUAGCAAACA
rnacentral:rRNA from 1 species